rnacentral:rRNA from 1 species
GUCUAACGGGAAUGUCGGCUUCGGCUGACUAGUACCGUGGCGAACGGGUGAGUAACACGUGGGUAAUCUACCCUCGAGCUCGGGAUAACCUUGCGAAAGCGAGGCUAAUACCGGAUAAGACCACGCCCUGCACGCAGGGUGCGGUAAAAGGUGGCCUCUUCUUGAAAGCUAUCACUUGAGGAUGAGCCCGCGGCCUAUUAGCUAGUUGGUAGGGUAACGGCCUACCAAGGCGACGAUGGGUAGCCGGCCUGAGAGGGUGUACGGCCACACUGGCACUGAGACACGGCCCAGACUCCUACGGGAGGCAGCAGUGGGGAAUAUUGGACAAUGGGGGCAACCCUGAUCCAGCAAUGCCGCGUGUGUGAAGAAGGCCUGCGGGUUGUAAAGCACUUUCGGUGGGGAGGAAAAGCCACGGGUUAAUAACCCGGGGUCUUGACGUAACCCACAUAAGAAGCACCGGCUAACUCCGUGCCAGCAGCCGCGGUAAUACGGAGGGUGCGAGCGUUAAUCGGAAUUACUGGGCGUAAAGCGUGCGUAGGCGGAUACUUGAGUCGGAUGUGAAAGCCCCGGGCUUAACCUGGGAAUUGCAUCCGAUACUGGGUGUCUAGAGUGUGGUAGAGGGGGGUAGAAUUCCUGGUGUAGCGGUGAAAUGCGUAGAUAUC